AUGUAUCAGGAAGCUCAGUAUCAACAACUUGUGAGUGGGAAUAUGGCUAUGAAGAAUAGUAUGGAUAAACAAUCACCGGGGUCUAGUUAAUCUAUUACAAGCUACAACACACGAUAACUUUACACUUUAUAUAGUGUGUGAUUUGACCGGUUGUAUUCAGUUAUUUCAGUUGAUCCACAAAUUCCAACAAAUAUUUCACUCCAGUAGCUGAAACCAAACGUAGACGGAGAUGAUAGGCCUGGUAACCGGAAGAGAAAAAACGGCAGUGAUUCGGAAUGUUUCGAAUCAUCACAGAAGACGUGUCGGGUUCUUCUGCUAGUAG
rnacentral:lncRNA from 1 species